rnacentral:lncRNA from 1 species
AUCUAUAUGUCAUGCUUUGGGACAGGAUGUUGAUUGUCGAUUUUAAAUCAAAUAUAGUAUUUGAAUAUAUUAUUAAAAACUUGAUUUCUUUUAAAUCGUUUUAAAAGUUUAUUUCAUUUAAGGAUUUAUUUUCCUUAAAUUGUUUUCCCCAUAAUAUUUAUUUUUAAAAGUUGAUUUAAAAUUUUUUAAAGACCUCCGCAUUAAAUAUUUAUUUUAAAGUUUUAUUUAAC